CAGUAGCCGCGGUAAUACGAAGGGGGCUAGCGUUGCUCGGAAUGACUGGGCGUAAGGGGCGCGUAGGCGGCGAUCAAAGUCAGGCGUGAAAUUCCUGGGCUCAACCUAGGGGCUGCGCUUGAUACUUGGUUGCUUGAGUGGGGAAGAGGGUCGUGGAAUUCCCAGUGUAGAGGUGAAAUUCGUAGAUAUUGGGAAGAACACCAGUGGCGAAGGCGGCUCACUGGACCGACACUGACGCUGAGGCGCGAAAGCGUGGGGAGCAAACAGGAUUAGAUACCCCCGUAGUCCCUGUCUCUUAUAC
rnacentral:rRNA from 1 species